CUAUAAUCCCCCCGCUUUGGCGCAUCAUGCUUAAUAGGGAAUCCGGUGAGAAUCCGGAGCUGGCGCGCAGCGGUAAGGGGGAACGAAGCGACAUCAGGGCACUGCCGCAAGGCGGGAAGCCGUCGCCUAGGCACUUGGCCCCCGAGUCCGAAGACCUGCCAAAGUUCGUAUUUCUGGC
rnacentral:ncRNA from 14 species